UUUUUUUGUAAAAAUGUUGUAUGAUAGAAAAGGUCAGUAGACUGCCAAUGACAACUGACUUUAUGUCCCGUUCAUAUGUAUAGUCAGCGAUUGAUUGGACUUUAUUAUGAAGCAGAAAAGGAAUAUAAAAGUGCAAUAGAAAGGAUUUAAUAUGAAUCUAAAUGUUAUAAAAAGUGGCAUAAUUAAAAAUGUUAGUUAUUGGAAUUGAUAGGUUUUGUGGGGGUGGGAAUCACUGUCCUGUUUUAUUCCAGAUCCUUCCCAUUCAUCCUUUCUCAUUCCAUCCUGACCCUGCCCAUCCCAUUCCCUGAUUGGUUGUCCUGAUAUGUUCAUACAAAUAAUAUAUAAUAUAACAUACCUGAAUGAAAAUAUUAAUGUACAACAUAGUUGCAUUAAAAGCAGAGAAAAGAUUUGAAUAGAUAAAUUUGAUAUGAAAUAUUUUUGUGUGAAAAUAUGUCAUAUUCAUAUAGUUGACACUUCUUGACACUUUCUGUAGUCACACUUUAUAAGAAGUAGUAAAAGUAUACUUCUGUAUAAUGUAUAUAUAAUGUUUAUAUAGUGUUUAGAGUGAAGAAAGAACAUAAAAUGUUAAUAAUUGAAAUUGAUACUUUGUAGGGAGUGGGAACAUUGUCCAGUCUAUUCCAGGUUCUUCCCAUUAAUGCCUAUCCUAAGCCAACCUGACCCGGUCCAUCCCAUUUCUGAUGGGUAACUUGUGUAUGAUUGUACAAAUAAUAUAUAAUAUAGCAAUUAUUAGAACUAAAUAUUAAUGUUGAGCAUGGCCCAAAUAAAGGAAGAGAAAAUAUGUGUAUAAAUAGAAUAAUUAUGAAUAUGUUUUAUUUGUGCAAUUGACACUUACUAUGGUAACACUUUAUAAGAAGUGGUAAAAGUACACUUCUUUAUAAGUAGAUAUAUAUUUGAUAGAAAGGUUAAAAACAUUUGUUUUUUGAGCUGUUCAUGAUAUUAUCAUGGAAACAGUGUAUUACCUAAAGACAAAAAGACAAAUGAUUAUUAAAUCUGGAACCACACUUGCAUGAGCAAAUGAAGGUUCAUGUACAGUUGUUUAAAGUUACAGUCUUGCUGUAUUUUGAGAAGUAUGGAAACAGGAUUGUUUGAUAGGUAAAUUACUUUGCUGUGUUUUAGUCAUAUUUGCUGAAUUUGCUGAUCAUUGUUGAAGCUGUGGAUUUUCCCUGGGAAAGAAUGAAGAAUGUUUUCAAGAAGAGACUGUAUUCAUUUGUAGUGUUUAAAGUGAUGAAAGAAUAAGAAAUGGGUACUUACUGGAAUUUAUAUUUUUUGCGGAGUUGGGAAUCUCUGUCCUGUCUAUUCCUGUUCCUCCCCAUUCUGUCUUGUCCCUUCCUGAUCUGGCCUAUCCAUUCCUGAUUGAUAAUCUAGAAGUGUUUGUAAAAAGAAUAUGUUGCAUAUUUGAAUGGAAUUGUAUAUUGAAGUAGUGUUAUAGAAUAUGGCCACAAAAUAUGCUGAAAAAAAAGACAGUGUAUAAAAAUAUUAAUAGGAAAUAUGUUGGUGUGAAAAUGUGUUUUAUUUAUGAUAGGGUACUCUGUUUAGUUUAUUAUUGUAUAAAACUAAAAGUGUGUUUCAGGAAAGUAUAAUUUAUAAGUCUAUACGAGUUUUGUCAAACAUAUGGAUACAGUUAUACAGUAUUAUAUAGGAUAUAAGAUAGAAUAAAUAUUAAACCUGGAAUGACAUUUGUAGCAAUAUGUAAGGGAAAACUAUUGGGUAUAUAAACAUUGAAUGUAACAACAUGACAAGUCUCUUACAUUAUACUGUUUCUAGAGACAGAAGACAAAAGAUGUUGAAUGUGACAGCUGUAAAUGCUGGAAAUGUAAGUAGCAGGCUACAAGACUGAUUUCCAAACCAAAUGAUAGGCACUGAAACACCCAUGGAUGAAGAAUCAGAAGGCUUAAUCAACGGAUGGUGAAAAUUGUCACAUGCUGUAAGAAAAAUGCCAGCUGGAAAGAUAUAAUCCCUCACACCACCAGCACCAACUCGGACAGAUGGUAUCUCAACAUAUAGUAGAUUCACGGUGAUACAUCGUAGAGCAGAUAUAGCUGGUCCGAUCAUACAAGAAUGUUGAGACAUGGAUAGUUGGUUUCCUGCAAAGAAGAAUGUAUAAUGUAACACCUGCAGCCAGAGAGUUCGGAGAAAAGGGAUCAGCUCAAAGAACAUUGGAGGGGUCUGAUGACAAUAUUGAUAUAGGUUAUGAAAAAGAUGAUAAAGGAAAAUUGGUAGAGGUAAAGGAGACAAAUGAUGGUGCGAAAAGUAGAAAUAUCACAAGUUAACAGUCAGUAAGGGAAAUGACUCCAGCCAGUAACUCGACAAGUCAUGAGCUUGCAAAAUAUGUCACAGAAAGGCGGGUUUAUGGAGCUGCUGCAGAUUCACCCAGUCUUGCUUAAACUAGAAGUUGUGAUCUACAACAUGAUUCUACAGCUGCCAGUAAACUUCGGUAGAGGAGCUGGAGGGGAAUGGAGUGAGCAGAUUGCAGUACAGUCAAACCUGUCUAUAAAGACCACCCUUGGGAGAGCCAAAAUGUGGUCUUUAUUGGGAGGUGGUCGUUAUUCAUAGGUUAAAAUAUAUUGUAAAUGUUAAAAUGGGAAACAAAACAUGUGUUCUUUAGAGCCAGGUGGUCUCUGUUCAGAGGUGGUCUUUAACACCGGUUUGACUGUAUACACAUCAGUGGGAGUGGAACAGGCAGACUCCAAUACAUACUACAUCUGUGGGAAAAGCACAAUGAAGUUCAGCUGUUUCUAGCUUGAAACACAUGGUAUGAUUUGUCCGCGAUCUGUAGACCAGAGCUCUCCCUACUGAGACAGCAGUAUCCAAUGUGGACAGCCUAGGAAGUCCUCAUCAAGGUUGCAGUAGAUUCAUUGAAAAAAGAAAUGGAAGGUUGAAGUUGCAAGGAGAGACUGAUGGAAAAUGACAGUGACUGGACAGACAAUGAUGAUGGUGAAGAAGUAUAGAAAACUUGGGAAAACUUUUAAUAGUGGUCAUCAACAUGCAGUCAUUGAUUCCAGUAUUCCAGCCAAUGUAUCUCUCUCCCCACAAGAAGCAAUACCAGGAAAUAUGUGACAUUCAUCAGCCAGGUAGUCAUUUACUCCAAGUGGCAAGGUUAGAUACAGCCUGACACCAAAAUCCCCAUUCUUGGAAAAGGAGUGGAUGUUUUGUGCUGUGGACACUGCAGAAUCGUGGAUUUGACAGUUUUAACUUGAAUUGGCUAAAAAGGAUGUUGAUAUUGAUGCACUUCCUCGUAGCAACUUCAGUCCUACAGAUAUAUAAGGGGAGGCAAAAAUUAUCACCAUUGACCUAGAAACCAUUGACCUAAUUAUAUUGGGAAGAUGCCACAUGUCGCACAAAGCUCCAUACCACAACAAAAUCGCUAUAGCACAAAUAUCUAUGUCACACCUGAAAAGGAAAUUUCACCAGAGGCACAAAGGAUCACCAGGAUUGCAUGGAAUAUUCAGACACGAUGACCAUAAAAGCACAAUACCUGGAAUUAAGUCCACUGUAGAGAAAUUGUGUACUUGGCUUGAAAAGAUCCUAAAGUGAUUUUGGUAGCCGGUUAUGGAAGACAAUUUGAUUUUCCAGUUCUUGUCUCAGCUCUACUGUGCACAGAAAUAACUAGGACAUUAUUCAGUUUCUUCUGAAAAGUAUUCUUUUACCAGUGUUCAAUAAACUGUACCCUAAAUAGUCAUACCUGCUAUGACACUACUUGGUAUCCGGUACAAUGCCUAUAACUGACAGACAGACAAAUUUACUAUGAAAAACCGGGAAGGCCAGCCAAGGGUUUUCAUAUGUUAAAGAAAAAUUUCAAGCAGUGACGUAUACUUCUGAUAAAUUUGGUACCAUAAUGUUCAUUAUCUUAAGUAAAAAAUGACAAUUGUAAUUGGAAAUUUGAAUUGUGUUAUUUUACUCUAUAUUUAAGAAAAUUAAUGUAUUCAAACUUGUAAUUUUUUCAUUUGUUAAAAUGUUAUAUUAUAGCUUUAAGCCUUAAUACCCUCUUUUUACAGUCUGCCUAAAGAAACACUUUAGUUGUUCUUGUGUAUUAUUUAGCCAUUUCCUUGAUUAAAAAUACACAACAAACUUCUAGCUCAAGACUUUCCAAGGUUGACAAGUUAUUACUUUCUUUGAUUUUGCUUAAGUUUGUUAAUUAUUUUUAAAUACUUUUGUUCAAAAUUUAUUAAGGUGUAAAACCUUUAAAUAAUAUCCUUAAGCAACAAAUGUUAUCAUUCAAUAGUAAAGUAAGAAGAAGACAACCUUUACUGUAAGCUAGCCCGCCCGCUUAGCUCAGUAGGUAAGAGCGUCGGUCUACGGAUCACGGAGUCGUGAGUUCGAUCCUCGGGCGGGGCGUAUGUUCUCCGUGACUAUUUGAUAAACGACAUUGUGUCUGAAAUC
rnacentral:lncRNA from 1 species